AGCAGCCGCGGUAAUUCCAGCUCCAAUAGCGUAUAUUAAAGUUGUUGCAGUUAAAAAGCUCGUAGUUGAAUUUCGGGGUUAGUAGGCUGGUCGUGCCAAUGGUAUGUACUGGCUUUACUGAUUCCUCCUUCUUGAAGAACUGUAAUGCCAUUAGUUUGGUGUUGCAGGGAAUCAGGACUGUUACUUUGAAAAAUUGAGUGUUUAAAGCAGGCUUACGCUUGAAUACAUUAGCAUGGAAUAAUGAAAUAGGACGUUGAUUCUAUUUUGUUGGUUUCUAGGAUUGACGUAAUGAUUAAUAGGGAUAGUUGGGGGCAUUAGUAUUCAAUUGUCAGAGGUGAAAUUCUUGGAUUUAUUGAAGACUAACUACUGCGAAAGCAUUUGCCAAGGAUGUUUUCAUUAAUCAAGAACGAAAGUUAGGGGAUCGAAGACGAUCAGAUACCGUCGUAGU
rnacentral:rRNA from 1 species